rnacentral:rRNA from 1 species
UACGAAGGGGGCUAGCGUUGUUCGGAAUUACUGGGCGUAAAGGGCGCGUAGGCGGUGCUGUAAGUCAGGCGUGAAAUCCCCGGGCUCAACCUGGGAAUUGCGCAUGAUACUGCGGCGCUGGAAUGCGGGAGAGGAUGGCGGAAUUCCCAGUGUAGAGGUGAAAUGCGUAGAUAUCAGGAGGAACACCGGUGGUGUAGACGGCUUUCUGGACCGACACUGACGCUGAGACACGAAAGCGUGGGUAGCAAACAGG